CGGGCCGCGCCGAACUUUUCUGUUUUCUCUUUUUUUCGCCUCUCCACACGCAGCGCUGCUGGCCGCUGCCGCAGCCCGCGGAGCGCUCCGCGGGGCCCCCUCCCUCCGCGACGGCAGGCUGGGCCGCAGCAGGACUCCCCGCCGCCUCCCUGCUUCUGGAAAAAUCCUGCGUGUUUUAAACUCGCUCCGUGGCACAGCGCUGCRCCCAGCCGCUGUCGGACCGGAGCAAGCUUCGUUUACUCUACACUGAGCACCACGCGAGGAGCCGCGUGUCCAGGCACCUCCUCGGCCGCYCGCGAUGGGCUCGUGCCAUCGUUAAAGCCGGCCUGCUCGUACACCCGGACACCAAACGGGAAACGUUUUCYGGGGGGAAGCCCUCCCUUGCGGAUCCGUGGAAAUGGUCCCCCUGCACCAAGGGGAGACCCGGCCCCGGCAGCUCGCCCUCGAUGCCACGCGUGCGCUGCCCGCCUGCACCACCCCCUCCUCAUAACUUCCACCCCGAAAACAGCAUCAGCUUUUUCCUUCCAAGAGCCCCAAAGCUCGGGGAUGAGUUCAUCAUUUACACAAGCAAACAUAACCCAGGUUUUUUUAAAGCAGCGGCUAAUUUGAAUAGGUGUCAAGCAGCGAGUUUAUGCUUUGUUAAGGUUCGACAGAAACUAUUGGGAUUAUUAAUGUCACAGUAAAGGUUUGCCGGUUCCUCCCACUGUGUUACGCCAGAUUACCACCGUAGACCAGACAUGCAUAAAAAAUGCUUCCUGCAGCACUGCUGUAAUCAAGCCAUACUUCCACCCCAGUGCUGCGCUAAGCGUCAAGUUGUGGGUGCAGAGACCAACUGGGACAAAGAGGGAUUUUUAAGGAGCCUGCGGCCCCAGUUCUGGUGCCCACAGAAAUGGGGAUAGCUCCCUUCAGCGACAGCUCRUCCUUACAAGAGCUGGUGUGGGACCAGUUUCUGUGAAGGCGUUAGCCAAGCCAAAAGAAAGGAUUGCUGUGAUAUUUAUAUACCGAAAAAUGCAACCAGGAGAGUUUGUAAAUUUGGUCAUCCUGACCCUCAAUUCAUAGCUGUUUGGCAUCGGAGUUGGAUCAGGGACUGAAGCACUUCUGUAUCCCCAUCUUAUUGGAGAGCCGUAAUCCCCAGGCUAUCAAAUUGUUUCUGUUCUCUCACUGGCCCAAUGAAUAUUUAAUUAUUCUUACAAAGCAGAGCAGCUUCAGCAGGACGGAUUCGCAUCCCAGAAUCUGCCAGCGGUUGGGCACUCUCCGAGGAGUUCGGAGACCCAAAUUCAAAUCCCUGGGCAAUCGGGCAAAGAGGGGGGUUCAACCUUAGUUUUACACAUUCCACUUGGCAAAUAAUUCCCAGCUCCCUCCGCCAUCCAGCCCUCUGCUUCCAGAUUUUCUAUUGCUUUUUUAAAAAUAACUUUAAAUGCCCCAAUUAACAAUGAAACAUUUCUAUAACUUUUUCCUUUUUUUUUUWAUUCACAAAGAAAUCUAUAAAUUUUCAUUUUGAGGGAAGAGAAAUAUUUUUAAUUCUUUUCCUGCCGGGCAGCCAAGGAGGACGUUUGUUUGCAGCCCCCAUCCGUGCCUCGGAGCAGCUGCUGGCAGGCGAGGAGCCCUG
ensembl:lncRNA